CUUAUCGAGAGAGGUGGAGGGAACGGCCCUAUGAAGCCCGGCAACCUGCCUGAACGCCGUGAAACGCGGGAGGGAAAGGUGCCAAAUCCGGCGGUGCAAAUCGAAAGAUGAGG
rnacentral:ncRNA from 1 species